UUGAUUUAGCAUGGAAUAUGGAUAGGACGUGCGUUUCUAUUUUGUUGGUUUCUAGAGACGCCGCAAUGAUUAACAGGAACAGUCGGGGCAUCAGUAUUCAGUUGUCAGAGGUGAAAUUCUUGGAUUUACUGAAGACUAACUACUGCGAAAGCAUUUGCCAAGGAUGUUUUCAUUAAUCAGUGAACGAAAGUUAGGGGAUCGAAGACGAUCAGAUACCGUCGUAGUCUUAACCGUAAACUAUGCCGACUAGGGAUCGGGCGAUGUUCUUUUUCUGACUCGCUCGGCACCUUACGAGAAAUCAAAGUUUUUGGGUUCUGGGGGGAUUAUGGUCGCAAGGCUGAAACUUAAAGAAAUUGACGGAAGGUCACCACCAGGCGUGGAGCCUGCGGCUUAAUUUGACUCGACACGGGGAAACUCACCAGGUCCAGAUGAAAUAAGGAUUGACAGAUUGAGAGCUCUUUCUUGAUUUUUCAGGUGGUGGUGCAUGGCCGUUCUUAGUUCGUGGGGUGACUUGUCUGCUUAAUUGCGAUAACGAGCGAGACCUUACUCUGCUAAAUAGCCAGGCUAGCUUUGGCUGGUCGCCGGCUUCUUAGAGAGACUAUCAACUCAAGUUGAUGGAAGUUUGAGGCAAUAACAGGUCUGUGAUGCCCUUAGAUGUUCUGGGCCGCACGCGCGCUACACUGACAGAGCCAACGAGUUCUUCACCUUGGCCGAAAGGUCUGGGUAAUCUUGUUAAACUCUGUCGUGCUGGGGAUAGGGCAUUGCAUACCCC
rnacentral:rRNA from 1 species